GACGAACGCUGGCGGCGUGCCUAAUACAUGCAAGUCGAACGCUUCUUUCCUCCCGAGUGCUUGCACUCAAUUGGAAAGAGGAGUGGCGGACGGGUGAGUAACACGUGGGUAACCUACCCAUCAGAGGGGGAUAACACUUGGAAACAGGUGCUAAUACCGCAUAACAGUUUAUGCCGCAUGGCAUAAGAGUGAAAGGCGCUUUCGGGUGUCGCUGAUGGAUGGACCCGCGGUGCAUUAGCUAGUUGGUGAGGUAACGGCUCACCAAGGCCACGAUGCAUAGCCGACCUGAGAGGGUGAUCGGCCACACUGGGACUGAGACACGGCCCAGACUCCUACGGGAGGCAGCAGUAGGGAAUCUUCGGCAAUGGACGAAAGUCUGACCGAGCAACGCCGCGUGAGUGAAGAAGGUUUUCGGAUCGUAAAACUCUGUUGUUAGAGAAAAACAAGGACGUUAGUAACUGAACGUCCCCUGACGGUAUCUAACCAGAAAGCCACGGCUAACUACGUG
rnacentral:rRNA from 1 species